GGGUUGGUGGCGCAGUUGGCUAGCGCGUAGGUCUCAUAAUCCUGAGGUCGAGAGUUCGAGCCUCUCUCAACCCA